UACAGAGGUCCCAAGCGUUGUUCGGAUUCACUGGGCGUAAAGGGUGCGUAGGCGGUCGGGUAAGUCUGGCGUGAAAUCUCCAAGCCUAACUUGGAAACUGCGUUGGAUACUAUCCGGCUCGAGGAAUGGAGGGGAGACUGGAAUACUUGGUGUAGCAGUGAAAUGCGUAGAUAUCAAGAGGAACACCUGUGGCGAAAGCGGCUCACUGGACCAUAACUGACGCUGAUGCACGAAAGCUAGGGGAGCAAACAGG
rnacentral:rRNA from 1 species